UACGGAGGGCCCAAGCGUUGUUCGGAAUCACUGGGCGUAAAGGGCGCGUAGGCGGUCGGGUAAGUCUGAUGUGAAAUCCCGCAGCUUAACUGCGGAACGGCAUGGGAUACUAUUCGGCUCGAGGAUUGGAGGGGGGACUGGAAUUCCAGGUGUAGCAGUGAAAUGCGUAGAUAUCUGGAGGAACACCGAUGGCGAAGGCGAGUCCCUGGGCAGUUCCUGACGCUGAGGCACGAAAGCUAGGGGAGCAAACAGG
rnacentral:rRNA from 1 species